AACGAACGCUGGCGGCAUGCCUAACACAUGCAAGUCGAACGAAGUCUUCGGACUUAGUGGCGCACGGGUGCGUAACGCGUGGGAAUCUGCCCUUGGGUACGGAAUAACUCAGAGAAAUUUGUGCUAAUACCGUAUAAUGUCUUCGGACCAAAGAUUUAUCGCCCAAGGAUGAGCCCGCGUAAGAUUAGCUAGUUGGUGGGGUAAAAGCCUACCAAGGCGACGAUCUUGAGCUGGUCUGAGAGGAUGAUCAGCCACACUGGGACUGAGACAAGGGCCAGACUCCUACGGGAGGCAGCAGUGGGGAAUAUUGGACAAUGGGCGAAAGCCCGAUCCAGCAAUGCCGAGUGAGUGAUGAAGGCCCUAGGGUUGUAAAGCUCUUUUACCCGGGAUGAUAAUGACAGUACCGGGAGAAUAAGCUCCGGCUAACUCCGUGCCAGCCGCCACGGUAAUAC
rnacentral:rRNA from 1 species